GCCGGGUGCAGUGGCUCACGCCUAUAAUCCCAGUGGCUAGGGAGGCUGAGGCAGGAGGCUCAUGAGUUCAAAGUCAGCCUCAGCAAUGGCAAGGUGCUAAGCAACUCAGUGAGACCCUGUCUCUA
rnacentral:sRNA from 1 species